rnacentral:rRNA from 1 species
UACAGAGGGGGCAAGCGUUGUUCGGAAUUACUGGGCGUAAAGGGCGCGUAGGCGGCCUGCUAAGUCGAACGUGAAAUCCCCGGGCUCAACCCGGGAACUGCGUCCGAUACUGACAGGCUUGAAUCCGGGAGAGGGAUGUGGAAUUCCAGGUGUAGCGGUGAAAUGCGUAGAUAUUGGGAAGAACACCAGUGGCGUAAGCGGCUUGCUGGGCUGUAACUGACACUGAGGAACGAAAGCCAGGGGAGCGAAUGGG